CAGCGUCUGUUUCCAUCGGACCAACACAUUUAUGUCUUUUGACAAGGGAACGCCAGACAAAUCUUUUGUUACAAACACUGCAGCUGAAUCUUUUCUCUCCUGUGUGGACUACCAUGUGUGACUGUAAAUGUCCACUCUGUGUAAAAGAUUUCUUACAGACAGAGCAGCUGAAAGAUUUCUCUCCUGUGUGGACUACCAUGUGUGACCGUAAACUUCCACUUUGUGUAAAAGAUUUCUUACAGACUGAACAGCUGAAAGGUUUUUCUCCUGUGUGGCUUCUCAUGUGUUUCUGUAAACUUUCACUCUGUGUAAAAAAUGUAUUACAAAC